UCGACAUAUACAACAGCGUGUUCCAGUUCCCUCCAAUAUCCAGCAACUUCACACAGCCAUUGAAGAGGAGUGGGACAACAUUCCACAGGCCACAAUCAAUAGCCUGAUCAACUCUUUGAAGGAGACGUCAUGCUGGAUGAGGCAAAUGGGGGUCACACCAGAUACUUUUAUUUCUUAUUUUCUGAACCAAGCCCCUACUUAAAAGAAGAAAGGUAUCUGUGACAAACAGAUGCUUUUCUGUAUUACCAGUCAUGUGAAAUCCAUAGAUCAGGGCCUAAGGAAUUUAUUUACAUUGACUGGUUUCCUUAAAUGAACUGAUACUCUGUAAAAUCUUUGAAAUUGUUCUAUGUUGGGUUUAUAUUUUUGUUCAUUGUCUAUACAAAUACAUAUGUAUUCUAGGAGUGGACUCCAACAACAAAGUGCCAUGUAACUGAUCAUGUUGUUUUCCAAGAUAGCCAUGUAUUUUGAUGAACAAUGCAAUGUGACCCAAAGGACGAGGCAAAUAAAUUGAUUAUGGAUAAAUGUAAUAACACAGUAAGGCUGUUGUAUCUAUGUAAUCAUUCAUUAUUUUCUCUGUGUUUAUGUUAAAUGUCAAUGUUUGCAUUGUAAUGCACAGAUCAAAGGCAAGGGAUGAAAAGUAACAAUUUAUGGAUCGCUGCGGCACACGGUAUUAAUAUAUCUAGUUGGAUUUGAUAGGGAAGGAUAGCGUUUUCAUUUUGUGAAUCCACACUGGACAACAAAUCAGUGACUGCAAGGUCAUGUGUUGCUGCUGCCCCCUUGCGUUUGGUCUCCAUCACCCCUGUUCUGCUAAAUCUCAUUCUCCACAAAAUGGUAUCAUCUGCCGUGUCAACAUGGAGCCCCUGGUAAAAGAUGAGAAAUUAUUAUUGCAUUUUUUUUUGCAGAUUUAGAAGUAAUAAUUUCAAACAAAAUUUGACCAUUUUGUUCCAUCUUUAUUAAUAUUAAAGUCAGCUCUAAACGUUAUACAUUUAAGCAGAUAAUUCAUGUUCGUUGCAUGCCCGAGUUGCUUCAUAUCACCUGUGCUCAAACGAAUCGAUAAAUGUGGUUAGUGCAUGCAGUGUAAAGUGUUUCCAAAUACAGUCGACAGUCACAGGUCUCUGUUAACUAACUCUACUGCACCUCCCACCUAGGCACGAAUGGAACCCGAUGCUGUCAUUACUUUGUACAAGGAAUAUAGUGGGUAUCCCAUUCCUAUUAUGCCUUCGUGACUGCGACUGAACCAGAAGGAUGCUGCAUUACUAGUUUUUAAUUUGUCGACAGAGUGGAGCCAAAGUGAGACAGUCAGUGGAAACGGACUGCACAAUACCCAGCAGUGGACACUGAUUCAAGAAGAGGACAGUAAAGAUCUUACCACCAAACCCCUGCAGUCUCUUACACCAUGAAUAUGGAGCAGCUAUGGCAUGAGAAAAAUUAUCAAUCUCACUGAUCUCAACAAACAUGGGAGAGCGUAUGAGGAUGGUAAGGCCUUGAGUGAUUUGAAUGACUACCCCACAGAGUGCAUAGAACCUUGGGGUGAUCCUGGACAACACCCUGUUGUUCUCUGCAAACAUCAAAGCAGUGACUCGAUCCUGCAGGUUUGUGCUCUGCAACAUCCAUAGAGUACGACCCUUCCUCACACAGGAAGCGGUGCAGGUCCUAAUCCAGGAACAUGUCAUCUCCUGUCUGGACUUCUGCAACUCGCUGUUGGCUGGGCUCCCUGCUUGAGCCAUCAAACCCCUGCAACUUAUCCAGAAUGCUGCAGCCUGCCUGGUCGAAGCUUGCAUCCACUCCAAGACCAUGGUGCUUACCUACGGAGCAGCAAGAGGAACGACCCCUCCCUACCUUCAGGACCCCUGUCAAGCCCCCAGUCCUUAGCAUGACCUCCAGACCCCUGUCCAGCCCCUAUCCCAGACCCUCAAUUAAGGAGAAGUAGCCGGGAUGGUCUGGACUACAGUGGGGAGUGCUGGUCUUCAGUAGCGCCCGGAGGAACUGGAGGGUAAAUGCACAGACACACGAACACUCUCACAUUUGGAAAGACUGGCCCAUUCCCUCUUUGUUCUCUCUGUGCUCCAUUGUUGUAAUUCUCUCUCUUUGCAGCAAUUUGACCAUAAAGGCUUAAUUCACACUGUCUCCUCUGAACAGUUGAUGUUGAGAUGUGUCUGUUACUUGA